GAUGAAGAACGUAGCGAAAUGCGAUAAGGAAUGUGAAUUGCAGAAUUCAGUGAAUCAUCGAAUCUUUGAACGCACAUUGCGCCCGCCAGCAUUCUGGCGGGCAUGCCUGUUCGAGCGUCAUUUCAACCCUCGAGCCCCCCCGGGGGCCUCGGUGUUGGGGGACGGCACACCAGCCGCCCCCGAAAUGCAGUGGCGACCCCGCCGCAGCCUCCCCUGCGUAGUAGCACACACCUCGCACCGGAGCGCGGAGGCGGUCACGCCGUAAAACGCCCAACUUUCUUAGAGUUGACCUCGGAUCAGGUAGGAAUACCCGCUGAACUUAAGCAUAUCAAUAAGCGGAGGA
rnacentral:misc_RNA from 1 species